rnacentral:rRNA from 1 species
GAGUUUGAUCCUGGCUCCAGAUUGAACGCUGGCGGCAUACCUUACACAUGCAAGUCGAACGGCAGCACGGGAGCUUGCUCCUGGUGGCGAGUGGCGAACGGGUGAGUAAUGCAUCGGAACGUAUCCUGGAGUGGGAGAUAACGUAGCGAAAGUUACGCUAAUACCGCAUAUUCUGUGAGCAGGAAAGCGGGGGACCUUCGGGCCUCGCGCUCUUGGAGCGGCCGAUGUCGGAUUAGCUAGUUGGUGAGGUAAAGGCUCACCAAGGCGACGAUCCGUAGCAGGUCUGAGAGGAUGAUCUGCCACACUGGAACUGAGACACGGUCCAGACUCCUACGGGAGGCAGCAGUGGGGAAUUUUUGGACAAUGGGGGUCAACCCUGAUCCAGCCAUGCCGCGUGAGUGAAGAAGGCCU